UGGGGAAUUUUGGACAAUGGGCGCAAGCCUGAUCCAGCCAUGCCGCGUGAGUGAAGAAGGCCUUCGGGUUGUAAAGCUCUUUCGGCGGGGACGAAGCGGUUCGUGACAACACCACGGACUAAUGACGGUACCCGCAUAAGAAGCACCGGCUAACUACGUGCCAGCAGCCGCGGUAAUACGUAGGGUGCAGGCGUUAAUCGGAAUUACUGGGCGUAAAGGGUGCGCAGGCGGUUUGUUAAGACAGGUGUGAAAUCCCCGGGCUUAACCUGGGAAUUGCGCUUGUAACUGGCAGGCUAGAGUGUGGCAGAGGGGGUGGAAUUCCACGUGUAGCAGUGAAAUGCGUAGAUAUGUGGAGGAACACCGAUGGCGAAGGCAGCCCCCUGGGUUAACACUGACGCUCAUGCACGAAAGCGUGGGGAGCAAACAGGAUUAGAUACCCUCGUAGUCCCUGAGCGGGCUGGCAAGGCGCAU
rnacentral:rRNA from 1 species